ACAAAUUUAUAAACUUCGAAAAAAAUUAAACUAUAAAUAACAUAAGUUAUAAUAUAUAAGUUAUAAGUAUAUAUAUGUAAUAUCCCAUAUUUAAGUGUAGGUAUUUAAUUAAUAAAACUUAAAAAAAAAAAAAGAAUAAAGGGCAUGUGGGCCGCAACCCUUGAUGAAGAAAAAAGAGAGCCCCACAGCCCAUUAAAACGUGAAUAAACAGAGAAGGGCAUAGACUGAAAAUAGUCUGCCAGCCACCUUAGAAAGAAAAAAAAAACCCAGCAAACAAAACGUGAGGUUCUGCCACUUUCAAGUGAAGAAGCACAAAGGGAAUUCAAGCACAGAUAAAUAAUAAGGAUAGGAGGAGAAAAGAAAGAUUGAUCGAAGGAAGUGGUACGGAAUUGCGUGGUGACGAGUCUGGUAUUUCGACACGAGUACUAGACCGCAGGUGACGUUGGUGAGGAUUACGGUAACUAGAGAGCACGAGUUGAAAGUUCCUGGUGAGCCCCGCACUUGUCCGCGUGGGCCAAGAUUCUAUUAUCUAUGAUGGUCUUUUCUUUUGAAUUCUUAGAGUUGCUCCAUAGUCAUUUGAUUUAUUCCAUGAGUAUUCUUUAUUCAUUAUAGAUUGGUGACUAGUUCGUAUUUCAGAGAUGUUUUAGUUUUAUUACGUUGAAAUCGGGUUGAUUGAGGAUGAUUGCAUUUAGUUUGGUUGACAUUGGAUAUUUUUGUUGUUGAUUUUGAGACAGGAAAGUUUUGGAUAGUCAUAAAAACAGGGGA